UAUGUGAUCGUCUCUCGCAUAUCAAUAAGCGGAGGAAAAGAAACUAACAAGGAUUCCCCUAGUAACGGCGAGUGAAGCGGGAAGAGCUCAAAUUUGAAAUCUUAAAGGGUUUCCCUUUACGAAUUGUAGUUUAAAGAAGUGUUUUCUGUUGAGGUUUUGGUAAAAGUUCUUUGGAAUAGGACAUCAUAGAGGGUGAGAAUCCCGUAUUUGACCUUUACUUUCAACUUUGUGAUACACUUUCAAAGAGUCGGAUUGUUUGGGAAUGCAGUCCAAAAUGGGUAGGUAAAUUUCAUCUAAAGCUAAAUAUUGGCGAGAGACCGAUAGCGAACAAGUACCGUGAGGGAAAGAUGAAAAGAACUUUGAAAAGAGAGUUAAACAGUACGUGAAAUUGUCAAAAGGGAAGCGUUUGACACCAGUGUUGUUUUUCUGAAAAUCAAUUAAAGAACUGUUUAUGCUAAGCUGUUUAGACUUUAUCAGCUAUCUGUUUAGUUUUGAGCUUUUCUUUAAUGCACUUUUCAGUUAACAAGUCAACAUCAAUUUCUUUUGCUGUAAAAAAGCUUGAGGAGGUGGCUUGAGAUUCGUCUUAAGUGUUUAUAGCCUCUUGCCUAUGCAGUCGGAGAGAUUGAGGUCUGCAGCGUAGAUCCUUCGGGGCUAAAUGCAUUUGUGCUAAGUUAUAGCAUUUUAUAGACAACUUGUUGACUAUGAUUUGUCUUGUAGCUUACUCGCUUAUGUUAUUUUACCUACGCUUAGGAUGUUGAUAUCGCGCUCUCACUG
rnacentral:rRNA from 1 species